rnacentral:rRNA from 1 species
UAGGGAAUCUUCCACAAUGGGCGCAAGCCUGAUGGAGCAACACCGCGUGAGUGAAGAAGGGUUUCGGCUCGUAAAGCUCUGUUGUUAAAGAAGAACACGUAUGAGAGUAACUGUUCAUACGUUGACGGUAUCUAACCAGCAAGUCACGGCUAACUACGUGCCAG